rnacentral:rRNA from 1 species
UACGUAGGGGGCACGCGUUGUCCGGAUUUAUUGGGCGUAAAGAGCGUGUAGGCGGCUGGGUAGGUCCGUUGUGAAAACUCGAGCUCAACCUCGAGACGCCGAUGGAAACCCUCCAGCUAGAGUCCGGAAGAGGAGAGUGGAAUUCCUGGUGUAGCGGUGAAAUGCGCAGAUAUCAGGAAGAACACCCGUGGCUAAGGCGGCUCUCUAGUACGGUACUGACGCUGAGACGCGAAAAGCGUGGGGAGCGAACGGG